AGAGUUUGAUCCUGGCUGAGAACGAACGCUGGCGGCAGGCCUAACACAUGCAAGUCGAGCGCUACCUUCGGGUGGAGCGGCGGACGGGUUAGUAACGCGUGGGAAUAUACCCAGUUCUAAGGAAUAGCCACUGGAAACGGUGAGUAAUACCUUAUACGCCCUUCGGGGGAAAGAUUUAUCGGAAUUGGAUUAGCCCGCGUUAGAUUAGAUAGUUGGUGGGGUAAUGGCCUACCAAGUCUACGAUCUAUAGCUGGUUUGAGAGGAUGAUCAGCAACACUGGGACUGAGACACGGCCCAGACUCCUACGGGAGGCAGCAGUGGGGAAUCUUAUACAAUGGGCGCAAGCCUGAUCUAGCCAUGCCGCGUGAGUGAUGAAGGAUCUAGGGUCGUAAAGCUCUUUCAAGUGUGAAGAUAAUGACGGUACCUCUACAAGAAACCCCGGCUAACUCCGUGCCAGCAGCCGCGGUAAUACGGAGGGGGUUAGCGUUGUUCGGAAUUACUGGGCGUAAAGCGUACGUAGGCGGAUUAAUAAGUUAGAGGUGAAAUCCCAGGGCUCAACCCUGAAACUGCCUUUAAAACUGU
rnacentral:rRNA from 1 species